UACGGAGGAUGCGAGCGUUAUCUGGAUUUAUUGGGUUUAAAGGGUGCGUAGGCGGACGCUUAAGUCAGCGGUAAAAUUGCGGGGCUCAACCUCGUCGAGCCGUUGAAACUGGGUGUCUUGAGUGGGCGAGAAGUACGCGGAAUGCGUGGUGUAGCGGUGAAAUGCAUAGAUAUUACGCAGAACUCCGAUUGCGAAGGCAGCGUACCGGCGCCCAACUGACGCUGAAGCACGAAGGCGUGGGUAUCGAACAGG
rnacentral:rRNA from 1 species